rnacentral:rRNA from 1 species
UACGAAGGGGGGCUAGCGUUGCUCGGAAUGACUGGGCGUAAAGGGCGCGUAGGCGGAUGGCACAGUCAGAUGUGAAAUUCCUGGGCUUAACCUGGGGGCUGCAUUUGAUACGUGUUGUCUAGAGUGAGGAAGAGGGUUGUGGAAUUCCCAGUGUAGAGGUGAAAUUCGUAGAUAUUGGGAAGAACACCGGUGGCGAAGGCGGCGACCUGGUCCUUUUACUGACGCUGAGGCGCGAAAGCGUGGGGAGCGAACAGG